rnacentral:rRNA from 1 species
UGGGGAAUAUUGGGCAAUGGAGGCAACUCUGACCCAGCAACGCCGCGUGAAUGAAGAAGGUCUUCGGAUUGUAAAGUUCUUUAACGAGGGACGAAACAAAUGACGGUACCUCGGGAAUAAGCCACGGCAAACUAUGUGCCAGCAGCCGCGGUAAUACAUAGGUGGCAAGCGUUAUCCGGAAUGACUGGGCGUAAAGGGAGCGUAGGUGGUUUGAUAAGUUGGAAGUGAAAUCCCGGGGCUUAACUCCGGAACUGCUUUCAAGACUGUCAAACUUGAGUGUGGAAGGGGAAAAUGGAAUUCCUAGUGUAGCGGUGGAAUGCGUAGAUAUUAGGAGGAACACCAGUGGCGAAGGCGAUUUUCUGGGACACAACUGACACUGAGGCUCGAAAGCGUGGGGAGCAAACA